AUAAGCGGAGGAAAAGAAACCAACAGGGAUUGCCUUAGUAGCGGCGAGUGAAGCGGCAAAAGCUCAAAUUUGAAAUCUGGCGCCUUCGGUGUCCGAGUUGUAAUUUGAAGAUUGUAACCUUGGGGUUGGCUCUGUCUAUGUUUCUUGGAACAGGACGUCACAGAGGGUGAGAAUCCCGUGCGAUGAGAUGCCCAAUUCUAUGUAAGGUGCUUUCGAAGAGUCGAGUUGUUUGGGAAUGCAGCUCUAAGUGGGUGGUAAAUUCCAUCUAAAGCUAAAUAUUGGCGAGAGACCGAUAGCGAACAAGUACAGUGAUGGAAAGAUGAAAAGAACUUUGAAAAGAGAGUGAAAAAGUACGUGAAAUUGUUGAAAGGGAAGGGUUUGAGAUCAGACUCGAUAUUUUGUGAGCCUUGCCUUCGUGGCGGGGUGACCCGCAGCUUAUCGGGCCAGCAUCGGUUUGGGCGGUAGGAUAAUGGCGUAGGAAUGUGACUUUACUUCGGUGAAGUGUUAUAGCCUGCGUUGAUGCUGCCUGCCUAGACCGAGGACUGCGAUUUAU
rnacentral:rRNA from 1 species